GGCGGUGUUUGAAACCAAUGACAAGACAUUGCUGCCUGCCAGCGUCCUCAACCCCACCCACCUACCCGCACAGAAUAGACUCUGCCCAAACACCCGUCAUAGCUGCCGAUGGAGUCCACUGAGAUCUGCGGAGAUGAUAAAAGGACGCGUCGAACUCCACCAUCGCCAUGCAUCACCGCUGGAAGGAAUAGAGGAGACUGUCGCCGCUCAUGGUAUCAUCAUCCCGGCGUCGAUCGUCAUCGAUCUGGAUUUUGAGGGAAGCUCCAGAUCUGAAGUGGUAGAUGGUAGCUCCUCCAAUCCACUUUCGCGUGGCGUCCGAGCCGGCGAUGCACGCGACUUCGGCUAGGACGACUCGAAGACUGGUUUGGAAACGCAGGAACCGAGCCAGUUCUGGACUUACGGCGAGGGCAACGCCGAGCAACUGAGCUCCAUUGAAAGAUGCCUUCUGAACUCCUAGCAAAAAGAAUGGAUUCACAAGUCUACAGAACCAGGGGAAUAGCAGGUUCUUGUGCCGGCUCGGCACUUUGCACAGGAAACAGAAGCUCCUGCCUUGACCAGUAUAAGGAAGGGGCGGGUCCUCACUUGGACGAGUUUGUGGAGCAGCUCAAGGGGAAUUACUGGUGUCUUACUUUGGUUUGUGAAAGUGCAUGUAAAACCUGGGAUCGUCAGCUUAUCAUGCAAUGUACUACUACAUUUCAGUGUGUCACAAUCUUUUAGUUCGCCCAAGUGCUCUCCAGAAACAAAACAGGAUGUCAAACUAAUUAUUGAUUUCACAAUUGUUUCAAAGUGUUAAUGUUGAAAAUUAAUAGUACUUGUUGCA